rnacentral:rRNA from 1 species
CGUCAGCUCGUGUCGUGAGAUGUGGUAAUCCGCACGAGCGCAACCCUUAUUGCUAGUUACCAUCAUUGAGUUGGGGACUCUAGCGAGACUGCCAGUGAUAAACUGGAGGAAGGUGGGGAUGACGUCAAAUCAUCAUGCCCCUUAUGACCUGGGCUACAAACGUGAUACAAUGGCUGAAACAGAGGGAGGCGAAGGGGUGACCUGGAGCGAAACCCAGAAAAACAGUCUCAGUUCGGAUUGAAGUCUGCAACUCGACUUCAUGAAGUCGGAAUCGCUAGUAAUCGCGGAUCAGAACGCCGCGGUGAAUACGUUCUCGGGGUUU